rnacentral:rRNA from 1 species
UACGUAGGGUGCGAGCGUUGUCCGGAAUUAUUGGGCGUAAAGAGCUCGUAGGCGGUGUGUCGCGUCGGCCGUGAAAACCUGGGGCUUAACUCUGGGCGUGCGGUCGAUACGGGCAUCACUAGAGUUCGGCAGGGGAGACUGGAAUUCCUGGUGUAGCGGUGAAAUGCGCAGAUAUCAGGAGGAACACCGGUGGCGAAGGCGGGUCUCUGGGCCGAUACUACGCUGAGGAGCGAAAGCAUGGGUAGCGAACAGG